rnacentral:rRNA from 1 species
GUGGAUUAGAUACCCUGGUAGUCCACGCUGUAAACGAUGGGCACUAGGUGUGGGGGGUGUCGACUCCCUCCGUGCCGAAGCUAACGCAUUAAGUGCCCCGCCUGGGGAGUACGGCCGCAAGGCUAAAACUCAAAGGAAUUGACGGGGGCCCGCACAAGCAGCGGAGCAUGUGGUUUAAUUCGACGCAACGCGAAGAACCUUACCUGGGCUUGACAUGUGCCUGACCGCCCUGGAAACAGGGCUUCCCUUCGGGGCAGGUUCACAGGUGGUGCAUGGUUGUCGACAGCU